GACGAACGCUGGCGGCGUGCCUAAUACAUGCAAGUAGAACGCACAGUUUAUACUUUAGCUUGCUAUACCAUAAACUGUGAGUUGCGAACGGGUGAGUAACGCGUAGGUAACCUGCCUGGUAGCGGGGGAUAACUACUGGAAACGAUAGCUAAUACAGCAUGAUAUUGAUUAUUGUAUGAUCAUUGAUUGAAAGAUUCUAUUGCAUCACUAUCAGAUGGACCUGCGUUGUAUUAGCUAGUAGGGGAGGUAACGGCACCCCUAGGCGAAGAUACAUAGACGACCUGGAAGGGAGAUUCGCCAAACCUGGAAUGGGAACAGGCCCAGACUCCUACGGGAGGCAGCCGUAGGGAAUUUUCGGAAAUGGACGAAAGGCUGAACGAAGAACGCCGCGUGAGUGAAGGAGGUUUUCGGAUCGUAAAGCUAUGUUGUAAUAGAAGAACGGGUGGGAGAGUGGAAAGUUCACACUGUGACGUUAUCAUACCAGAAAGCGACGGCUAACUACGUG
rnacentral:rRNA from 1 species